UUCAACAAAAUGGGUGCUUUGAUAGCAACCUUUCGGAAUCGGAUACGACUUGUUUGAAAAUGAAUUUUCAUACAUCUGGAGCAAUGGCGCUAAAAUGAAAAAAUGAACCACACAUGGAGGCAUGCCCCAGCUACUUGGGAGGCUGAGGCAGGAAGAGUGUGAACUGGAGGCCAGUCUGGGCAACACAAUGGCAAAACUGAAGACCCAAAAAUAAUUAGCCCAAGGCCUCAAAGCCUGAGUACCAGUGUCUGGCUUCCAACUCAUGUAUGUUGACUCCGGUGUCUGUACUUCGGCAGGCUGGUGCUCAGAGAGAAAGCACUUCCAAAUUCUUCCUCUGAGCUGACCACACGUAUCGCCUCGGUAAUUGCUACCCUGAGAGGAGGUGCUGUUGUGGAUGGGCCCAGAGAUUCCAGACAGCUGCUGGAAUGGAGCCCUCUCCAUGUUUCAUUACCUGGGUGCUUACUCGCAAAGCAGGUGCUCAGGUCCUACGCUAGACCUACUGGAUCCACGUGUACACUGCAACCAGACCUUCAGAUAAUCCCACAUGCAUUCAAGUUGGCAAUGCACUUAUCUGGAUAUGAGAUCGUGCCUUAGAAUGAUUCUUGCGAUUGUAAACUGUAGACUGCCAUUGGACUUCUGAGUUUAAAGCCCACAGACAGACCAAUUCUGAGACUUCAGACUUUCAGGGAAGGUUCCAGAGCUCUGGACUGAGCUAGACUUUCUUACUGACUUCCAGUAGUGCUGGAGAAUGAGUUCAUAGUUAGGAUCUUUGGGUUGCACUCCAAUAUAUGAAAGACUCCUCUGGGAUUGCUGUUAUCUAUAAACUGAAGAUUUAAUCUGUAGGCUUUAAACUACAGAUUGAAAUAAGACACAUUAUAAAAUUACAUGAUGAUGUAAAACAUCUUUGUAAGGAACAAAAAGCUGAACACUGCACUUUCCCACAUUAUGGUAUGACCUGGAGGAACCAAAUAACAUUUCUCACAAAGCCUUGCAAAUAUGUGACAGGUCCAUCAUGAUGGUAUUCAAGUGACUCCCUUGUCUGUGUCCCAGCUGAUAAAAGUUGUGAUAACAUUAUUACUGUGUUAUGACGAUUUUUAUCAUAUUUAUACUUUUAUCAUUUUUAUCAUACUUAUCUUUACAGUUGCUCAUUUGUUCUCAUUGUUUGUAUAUUCAUUCAUUCAUUCAUGAACAUAUAUUGAAUACUUUCCCUGUGGCAGGCACUGCCCUAGGCUGAGAAAAUUAUAGUAUUUAUUGAUCAGUAUAACAAAGAUUCCAAAAGGAACAAUUGUCGUGGGGUAUGAACUAGAUGGUUUAGCCUACUUUAGAAAAUAUUGGUCCUAUAUUUCUUUUAAUUAGAAGAAACAAACUUCAAAAAUAGUGCUGCUCAUGGCUCCUGCUGUUGGAUGUAGUAUAAACACAAGAAAUAAAGUUGUGUUGGACGUCAGAGUCCUAGAGACUUGGGUUGUUGUCUCUACUUGGAUCAGAUUUUCGAGCCCAUAAUGUGAACCUGUUCCACUUUGGGAUGAUGGUAUGGAGUAUGUGUGUG